rnacentral:lncRNA from 1 species
CGUGCCUUCACCCAAGACUUACACAUUAGCUUCGGUGUCUUUCUACACGCUUGGACUUAGCUUAUUUCCGAGGCCGUGGCCGAACCGUUGUUUUCGGCCCGCGCGCCAUGGCGAACGCCUCGUUUUCAGCCCAAACGCAAGGCCGAACAGCCCUGCCGCCCGUCGUCGCGCGCCUCCGUGCCCGAGCCUCCGUUCGUCGCGUGCCUCCGUGUUGUUUUCCCUCCGUUCCUCUGUGCCCUUCACCAAAGACAUACACAUUAUGUUCGGUGUCUUUCCACAUGCUUGGACUUAGCUUAUUUUCGAGUUCGUGCCCGAGCCUCCGUUUUCGUCCCGUGCGCCAUGGCGAACACCUCGUUUUCAGCCCAGACGCAAGGCCGAACAGCCCUGCCGCCCGUCGCCGCGCGCCUCCUCCCGUUUUCCCUCCGUUCCACCUUGCCCUUCACUGAAGCCAUACAUACACCUUAGCUUCGUUGUCUUUCCAUUCCACACGCUUGGACUUAGCUUAUUUUCGGGGUCGUGCCCGGGCCUCAGUUUUCGGCCCGUGCGCCAUGGGCGAACCCCUCAUUUUCGGUCCAGACGCAAGGCCGAACAGCCAUGCCGCCCGUCGCCUUGCGCCUCCGUGCCGUUUUCCCUCCGUUCCGCCAUGCCCUUCACCCAAGACAUACAUAUUACCUUCGGUGUCUUUCCACACGCUUGGACUUAGCUUAUUUCCGGGGCCAUGCCCGAACCUCGGUUUUCGGCCCGUGCGCCAUGGGCGAACCCCUCGUUUUCGGCCCAACGCAAGGCCGAACAGCCAUGCCGCCCCGUCGCCAUCCUGCCCUUCACCCAAGGCAUACGUAGCAGCUUCGGUGUCUUUCCACACGCU